GAGGAAAUGAAUUUUGAAGUUGAGACAAAAAUGGGAGUGCCGUUAGCAAUUGCGUUAAAAUGUCUCUUCGCCAUAUUGGGAUGUUUGGUUACAGGCAUCGUAAUCUACACUAUCGCCAUUGAUGGCUUCUCGUUCGUCAUCUCCCCGUUGAUGGCAGCAACGACGAUAGAUUCUUACAUCCAUGUGUUUCUAAUAUGGUCCUGGGUUGUCUACAAGGAAGCAAACUGGAUUACUGCAAUACCUUGAGCGGUGUUGCUAGUAUGUUUUAGAAGCAUUACUAUAUGUGGCUACAUUCUAUUGCAGUUCCUGAAGCUUUCAACUCAGGAAUCUUUACAGGAUCCAGUUUACUUUGUCCUAUUACAACGCCAGAAAAAGACUGAAACAGAACAAUGGAGGAAGUAUUCUCUUUUAACUGCAAGAAUUCUGUCUCUUGCUUUGGGCAGUCUGAUGCUAGGGACACUGAUUUACAUCCUUGUAACUUAUGGUUCUCCAUUUCGCAGAGAUGCUUUCACUCCGUAGAUGUCAGCAACACUAAUUGAUUACUUCGUCAUUGUUAUUGCUCUCUCGGUCUGGGUAGCAUAUAAGGAAUCAAGUAGGCUAAGUGCAGCUUUUUGGAUCAUACCAAUUAUUUUGUGUGGCAGCCCCAUCACAUGUUCCUAUAUUGCUCUUCAGCUUUUCAGUCUCUCAUCUCAAGAUCCCGUCUACCUUGUUCUUUUCAGCAGCCACAACA